UGGGGAAUAUUGGGCAAUGGGGGGAACCCUGACCCAGCAACGCCGCGUGAAGGAAGAAGGUUUUCGGAUUGUAAACUUCUGUCCUUGGUGAAGAGGAAGAGACGGUAGCCAAGGAGGAAGCCCCGGCUAACUACGUGCCAGCAGCCGCGGUAAUACGUAGGUGGCAAGCGUUGUCCGGAUUUACUGGGUGUAAAGGGCGUGUAGGCGGGCAUUCAAGUCAGAUGUGAAAUUUAUGGGCUCAACCCAUAACGUGCAUUUGAAACUGAGUGUCUUGAGUGAUGGAGAGGCAGGCGGAAUUCCUAGUGUAGCGGUGAAAUGCGUAGAUAUUAGGAGGAACACCAGUGGCGAAGGCGGCCUGCUGGACAUUAACUGACGCUGAGGCGCGAAAGCGUGGGGAGCAAACAGG
rnacentral:rRNA from 1 species